rnacentral:rRNA from 1 species
AUUGAACGCUGGCGGCAGGCCUAACACAUGCAAGUCGAGCGAGUGGCGGACGGGUGAGUAAUGUAUGGGGACUGCCCGAUAGAGGGGGAUAACUACUGGAAAAGGUGGCUAAUAACGAAUACUAUCGGAUAACCCAUAAGGGAUUAGCUAGUAGGUGGGGUAAUGGCUCAUCUAGGAGACGAUCGCUCGCUGGUUGGAGAGGAUGAUCGGCCACACUGGGACGAGAACACGGCCCGAACUCCAACGGGGGCAGCAGUGGGGAAUAUUGCACAAUGGGGGCAGGCCGGAUGCAGCCAUGCCGCGUGGAUGAAAAAGGCCUUAGGUUUGUAAAGUACUUUCAUCGGGGAGGCGUUACCCGCAGAAGAAGCACCGGCUAACUCCGUGCCAGCCGCCGCGGUAAUUC